GCGCCCGUAGCUCAGUGGAUAGAGCACUUGGCUUCGGACCAAGGGGCCGGGGGUUCGAAUCCCUCCGGGCGCA
rnacentral:tRNA from 1 species